UAUAUUGGUUUAAUAUAAUGUCUGGCAUAGAAGCCAAAGCAGCCAACCAUUUUUCUACUGGUUGGAUGUAGGAGAAGGCAAAGAAGUGAAUCUGAGAGAUGUCCAAGGAGCAAACUUCAACACCAAUGCGUUAAAUAUCUUGGACCGAAAGAAAGGGAAGAAUAUGAAGUUAUUGUUGAAGGGGGCAAGCUGGUGUAUAGACAAAAUGGGAAGGUUCUCGAUACUAGAGAUAGGUCCAGAUGGAUAUUUGUUCUGAGCUCCACAAGGUCUUUGUAUGUGGGGCGAAGGCAGAUGGGUUUGUUUCAUCACUCCAGCUUCCUGGCUGGAGCUGUGCCCGCGGCAGCAGGAAGAUUAGUGGCUCAUGAGGGUGUUCU